UGGGCGCAAGCCUGAUCCAGCAAUGCCGCGUGAGUGAUGAAGGCCUUAGGGUUGUAAAGCUCUUUCGGCGGGGACGAUGAUGACGGUACCCGCAGAAGAAGCCCCGGCUAACUUCGUGCCAGCAGCCGCGGUAAUACGAAGGGGGCGAGCGUUGUUCGGAUUUACUGGGCGUAAAGGGCGCGUAGGCGGCGGACCUUGUCGAGUGUGAAAGCCCCGGGCUCAACCUGGGAGGUGCGCUCGAAACGGGUUUGCUGGAGUUCGGGAGAGGAGCGUGGAAUUCCCAGUGUAGAGGUGAAAUUCGUAGAUAUUGGGAAGAACACCGGUGGCGAAGGCGGCGCUCUGGACCGAGACUGACGCUGAGGCGCGAAAGCGUGGGGAGCAAACAGGAUUAGAUACCCUGGUAGUCCACGCUGUAAACGAUGUGUGCUAGACGUUGGGGAGCGCAGCUCUUCGGUGUCGCCGCAAACGCUUUAAGCACACCGCCUGGGGAGUAC
rnacentral:rRNA from 1 species